rnacentral:rRNA from 1 species
CGUGGACAUCUAACCUAAGGUGGGGGAUAACCCCGGGAAACUGGGGAUAAUACCCCAUAGACUAUGGGUGCUGGAAUGCUCUGUAGUUGAAAGGUCCGCCGCCAUAGGAUGAGUCUGCGGCCGAUUAGGUUGUUGUUGGGGUAACGGCCCAACAAGCCUGUAAUCGGUACGGGUUGUGGGAGCAAGAGCCCGGAGAUGGAUUCUGAGACACGAAUCCAGGCCCUACGGGGCGCAGCAGGCGCGAAAACUUUACAAUGCGGGAAACCGUGAUAAGGGAACUCCGAGUGCCCGUAAAAUCGGGCUGUCCACCAGUGCAAAUAACUGGUGAAGAAAGGGCCGGGCAAGACCGGUGCCAGCCGCCGCGGUAAUACCGGCGGCUCGAGUGGUGGCCACUAUUACUGGGCUUAAAGCGUUCGUAGCUGGUCUGUUAAGUCUCUGGGGAAAUCUACUGGCUUAACCAAUAGGCAUCUCAGGGAUACUGGCAGACUAGGGACCGGGAGAGGUGAGGGGUACUCCAGGGGUAGGAGUGAAAUCCUGUAAUCCUUGGGGGACCACCUGUGGCGAAGGCGCCUCACCAGAA